ACUCCUACGGGAGGCAGCAGUGGGGAAUCUUGCGCAAUGGGCGAAAGCCUGACGCAGCGAUGCCGCGUGAGUGAUGAAGGCCCUCGGGUUGUAAAGCUCUGUGGAGGGGGACGAAUAAGUGUCGUCGAAUAGACGGCAUGAUGACGGUACCCCUUUAGCAAGCACCGGCUAACUCUGUGCCAGCAGCCGCGGUAAGACAGAGGGUGCAAACGUUGUUCGGAAUUACUGGGCGUAAAGCGCGUGUAGGCUGCUCGGAAAGUCGGAUGUGAAAGCCCUGGGCUCAACCCAGGAAGAGCAUUCGAAACUCCCGAGCUCGAGUACCGGAGAGGAAGGCGGAAUUCUCGGUGUAGAGGUGAAAUUCGUAGAUAUCGAGAGGAACACCUGUGGCGAAGGCGGCCUUCUGGACGGUUACUGACGCUGAGACGCGAAAGCGUGGGGAGCAAACAGGAUUAGAUACCCUGGUAGUCCACGCCGUAAACGAUGGGUGCUAGGUGUCGCGGGAUUUGACCCCUGCGGUGCCGUAGCUAACGCAUUAAGCACCCCGCCUGGGGAGUACGGCCGCAAGGCUAAAACUCAAAUGAAUUGACGG
rnacentral:rRNA from 1 species